rnacentral:rRNA from 1 species
UACGUAGGGGCCUAGCGUUGUCCGGAAUUAUUGGGCGUAAAGAGCUCGUAGGCGGUUCGGCAAGUCGGAUGUGAAAUCUCCACGCUUAACGUGGAGGGGCCAUUCGAAACUGCUGUGACUCGAGUCCGGUAGGGGAGUGUGGAAUUCCCGGUGUAGCGGUGAAAUGCGCAGAUAUCGGGAGGAACACCAGUAGCGAAGGCG